AAUAAGAAACGGCAAAUCCGUACGAAAGUCGGAGACGCAAAGCCACGGGUCUAAGCAAGGUCACUCCUUGUAUGACAGCCGGGUUGCCUAU
rnacentral:ncRNA from 1 species